rnacentral:rRNA from 1 species
GAUGAACGCUGGCGGCGUGCCUAAUACAUGCAAGUCGAACGCAUAGCGAAAGGUGCUUGCACCUUUCAAGUGAGUGGCGAACGGGUGAGUAACACGUGGACAACCUGCCUCAAGGCUGGGGAUAACAUUUGGAAACAGAUGCUAAUACCGAAUAAAACUUAGUGUCGCAUGACACAAAGUUAAAAGGCGCUUCGGCGUCACCUAGAGAUGGAUCCGCGGUGCAUUAGUUAGUUGGUGGGGUAAAGGCCUACCAAGACAAUGAUGCAUAGCCGAGUUGAGAGACUGAUCGGCCACAUUGGGACUGAGACACGGCCCAAACUCCUACGGGAGGCUGCAGUAGGGAAUCUUCCACAAGGGGCGAAAGCCUGAUGGAGCAACGCCGCGUGUGUGAUGAAGGCUUUCGGGUCGUAAAGCACUGUUGUAUGGGAAGAACAGCUAGAAUAGGAAAUGAUUUUAGUUUGACGGUACCAUACCAGAAAGGGACGGCUAAAUACGUG